GCCCCGGUAGCUCAGUUGGACAGAGCGGCGGUUUCCUAAACCGCAGGUCGCAGGUUCGAUCCCUGUCCGGGGUACCA
rnacentral:tRNA from 2 species